UACGGUGGCUCGUCGUUGCUUGAUCGUUAGUUCUGUAUGUGGCUUUAUAUAUCUGCCAUUUUGCUACUGGUAAACAUAUCGUUCUCUGAUUUAAAUACGACUAUUUCUGUCAAAUGUUACAUAUUAGUCUCUUCUGCAAGGGUUCGCUCGACGAUCUUGUCGAGUUAACCUUUAUAUUUUGCGCAUAAUAGAAAAAAAAAAAGAGGACAGAUUCUGAGUUCUCGAACGAUUACACUACCGUGCCAGUUUUUUAUGCGUUGCGGUAUUAAGAAGUGAUUCAUUUAUUGCAUGAAUGCUAACUUCCUACUGACAAGACUAUAGAAGAACUAGUAUAUAUUUGCAAAGUAAUAUCUGAGGUUCUUUCUAUUAACUCUCAAAAUGAUGGAAACCGAUCCUCCUCAAUUUUUGUCAAAAGAUGAUGAAAUUCAAUAUUGGAUGGAUCUUGCCCAUCAGAUGCAUCAAAGAAAAGAAGAUGUUGAAAGAGAAUUGGAAGAAUUUCAAGAAAAUUCUCAAAUGUUAGAAAAAGAAUUAGAAACAUCUUUAGAACAAGCUGAAAAAGCAAAUAGAGAAUUAAGACAAAGGAAUACACGACUUGCAACAGAAGUAGAGCAAUUAAGAACAAGAUUAGAUCAACAAACUGCGGAUUGUGCUAUGUUUCAGUCACAAGCACAAGAUUUGCAAUUACAACAUGAGCAAUUGAUGAAAUAUAUCAGAGAACUGGAACAGAAGAAUGAUGAUUUAGAAAGAGCACAUAGGGUAAAUAGAGUAACGGAAGAAGAGAUAGAAGCUAAAUUUAACUUGGCAAUAGAAAAGAAUGCUUUACUUGAGUCGGAGCUCGAUGAAAAGGAAGGCUUAAAAGUCAUAGUACAAAGAUUAAUGGAUGAAAUUAGAGAUUUGAAACAAGAGAUUCAAGUACAAGAGCGACACCAACCAGAUAAUGAUAAGACAGCAGAUAGAGUUCGUAAUCUUGUAGAUAGUAAUAAACUACAAGUUGAACUAGAAACACAUACACCACCUUCCAGUCCAUUAGUUUCACAAUCUAUACCUUCAAAUAACACGACUCCAUCAUUGAAAAUUGGAAAUGGAGUAGUAGGGGGUGUAAUUGGGAACAACAAUAAUAAUAUAAAUCCACCGUUGGCACCAUGUACCAGAAUAUUAGCGAUGAAUAUGAUUGGAGACCUGAUGCGAAAAGUUGGACUUGACAGAUGGGUCUGCAUGGACUGUAGGAGGGUGAAAUGCACUUGUCCAAAUGGAAAAAAAUCAAAUACCAUUCCAACAAAUAAUGCACCAUCGAUUCAAGUUUAUACACCUACACAGUGUAUUAGGCAACAACCUAGACCAGCCAAAUGCAGACAAUCUUCGUGAUACCUCAUCAUUAAAUUAUUUUCCACCUCCUUAUAAUGCAGGCUUUGGAAAACAAAUUGAAUACAUGCAGAAAUGCAUCACGAGAGGACCAAGCUGUACGUGAUCUCUACAGGAGUAGACGACAAGUGAGAGGCGCAGCCUCAGGAAACAACAACCACAUUCGAUUGUAACAAGGUAUUUUUAUGUUAUAAUAAGCCUAAACAAAUGUGCAAUUAUGUUUAAAAAUGUUUAUUGCUUUAAUAAGAAUGUUUAUUAAUUCAUAGAUAAAUUAUUAGAGAAUGACAUAAUUGUGUCAGUAAAUACAUCUCUAUACGUCUAUUUUGGACAAAAAAUAUUUUUUACUAUAAUGUGACAAAGAUUUAUAACUAGAAUUUGGCAUAUUUAUUAGAUUUAUUUGGUUAUAAUUACUAAAACAAAAAUUUAAUUUAUAUGUGUUAAUGGAACGCGCACGCGCGUAAAUAAAUUCUUUAUUAUAUAACUAAUUAACAUAAAUACGAAUGAAGGCUAAUAUGUGCUAUUUGAUAUCAAAUUUGAGUAUUUUUCAUUAUAGCAAUAACAAACAGAUAUAUUAAUAAUUUUUCUUUUUGUAAAACAUUUUUAUAAAGUACAUUUAAAUUUAAUUGUGGAAUAAUACAACCCUAUUUUAAAAUAAUAUAAUAAAAAUUUGUAAAUAGAUUAGUGCCGUAUUAUGAAUAUUAAGGCAAUAUAUAUGGACUGUUUUAGUUAUUUAUAUUGUAGUAUUAAAAACUUAAUUUAAAUAAAUCAAUCACAAAUGUUGUUUUUAAUAUUUAGUUUUAAUUUCAUUAAAAGAAUUGUUUGUUAUUGUUAAAAAGUAAUGUGUAAUAAUUACAAUGGUAAAUUAUUAAUUUAUUGGAUAUACAUAGACAUUAUAUGUAUCCAUAUAAUUUUUAUGAUCAUAAGUUUUGAGUAUACUUCUCUAUUAUAUAUUUCAUUACAACAUCGAGAAUAAUAUAUGCAUAUACUAUAUAUAUAUAAUAUAUUAGUAUAUACACUCUGCAUAAUGUUGACAAUAUCUUAAUAUUUUUUUUAACAAUUUAUUUUAUUGUUUAUUUGUAAGUUGUAUAUUGGUGCCAUUAAAUUUAUAAAAGAUAAAUUUCAUUAUAUAAACAAUUUUUGUAUUAUCAUAAAUUGUUAUAUUUCAUAUGCAAAUUAUGGUAUUGUACUUCAAUAUACUAAUGGAAUAGCAAAAAAUAUUUUUAUUUCAAUGUAUUUGAAUGUAUUUUAAUUAUAAUACAAUCUAUAUUUUCUGUAGUAUAAGAUAUUAAUAUAUUCACACUUUUAUUUAUUUUUUAAUAUCAUACACAACACAUGUUACUAAAGUAUUAAUUCUAGAAAUACAUUUUUUCUUCAUCAAUGUAAAGAUAUAUUAGAAGUUACACGUUAAAAUAAUGAAAAAUAAAUCAUGGAUAUCUUUCAACUCAAUAGAAUCUAAUUACAACUGUUAUUUAUUUACAUCUGUUUGCUGAUAAAUAAAUUUUCUUGAAUUGAAAAUUUAAUAUCCUUUAUGUCAGAACAUUUGUAUUAAGUUAUAUUUAGGUAACUAUUGACAAAAACAUUGUAAUAACAAUAAUAAUAAAAAAAUAUCACGUGUUAAAAAAAUAGGAAAAUAUUAUAAUAGAUAAAAUAUUGGGAUUACAUCUGUAAGUGAAUAAUUGCAUUUUAUUUACUUUUGCAUAUUCAAAUAUUCGUUCAAAUAUUCGAAUGUUAGAUGGCGCUCAUCUUCAUUGUGGCGGAUACCACCCAAAAGCAUUUCUUCGGUUUUUGUUUCUUCUUGCUUCUUUUGUUUUAUGAUUGUAAAGUUAACACUAUACCGUCCGAUGACACCAUAGUGGUGUCGUGCGCAAAAUAGUAGCCAAUGGUCGGCGACACCACAGUGGUGUGUACAUAAUAUCGCUCAGUGACCGGCGACAGCACUUUAGUAUCUUUUGUGUUUUGUUGGUGUUUUGUUUUUUGUUUUUAUAAGUUUUGUGCGACAAGCCAAGUAAUCCGAAUUAGCGCUGCCGGCGCCAAGCGAAUACAUUUUUACGAGACGUGCGAACGGCAUAGUGUUAAAUAAGAACAAGGCUAAUUAAAAAUAAAGGUACCAAAAUAUUGCUUGGUCUAAUACUA